rnacentral:piRNA from 1 species
UGACUCUGGUGUAGUCUCAUGUGACU